UGUAGUGGAUGAAUCAAAUUUUUGUAUAGACCUCAUUUUUUGUAUUACGUACAAAAAUAUAAAUUUGCACAAAGCACCGGCUCCCUAGAAACAACAAUCGAGUUGAAUAAGUUACCUCAAAUAUAGUGAAAUUAAUUAAUCUAGGGAAAGUAAUUCUCUCCAUGGAUACCUGAAAGUUUCGAAAACAGUGCCAAAUACAGGCGCGACGUACGAAAGUAUUGAGUCAAGUAAGAACUAUUGUUUCGUUUUUAUCUUUGUUUCUUUCGAGGUAAAAAGGUUAGCGAUAGUUUUAUAAAAGGAUCGCAUGACCAUAAAUGCUGCGGGUAGUGGGAAAAACAAAUUUAAUGCCAUUUAAAGGCAUGCUUUCUAUGAAACUUCAUAAAAUUUCCAUUUACAAAAUAUUACUUAAAGUACAGUAUCAAAAUACGUUCAAGAGAAAAAAUAAACUCUAACUCCUAAUUCUAUCUUAAAAUACAUAUAAAUUAAAUUUGAUUUAACUUGUAGGGGAAAUAUUUGUAUUACUUAACCUACACAAUGUCAUAUGUCAAGUUAAUUUUUUAUGUACAUAUAAAAUUCCAUUGUAGAUUUAAAAUAUUUUUUUCAACUCAUUGUAUAAAUUAAAAAUAAUUAAAGUAGUGAUUAAUAUUCAUUAUUUCAAUUUGCAUAAAGAUUUACUAUUCGGUCCGAUAAACACCGCAUGCUUUGAACUUGAUCGUAAAAUUUAAAUGACAAUUGCGAAUCCUCUAUAUUUACUGACUUUUUUCAAUAGAAUGAUUUACGGUAUUUGAAGAAAAUACAGAAUACUUGUAAAACGUUUUAGGUAUCAAUCGUGUAACAGAUGGAAAUUGAAGAUUGAGUAACCAAUUUAUCUCUUAAAUAAUUUUGAACACGUAAUCUUAUUAGUAUCGACGCUGAGGGCGAUUGCAUCAGUAGAGAAGACAGUGCAGCGUGGCAUGGAUUUAAAGUUGAACGUUCGCACCUUGUUUCAAUAUUCGAUAUAUGUAUAUAUAUUUCGGGUCAUCGUUCUCUUUCUUUCUUUCUUUGGUCAUGAGGAAUCUAGAUUGGACGACAUAACCAGGACAAGGCUGUAUUUAUCGGUCAUCCGUUAUAUGACACGUCAAGAUUCUUUGAUUCCGUCGUAGACGCAAAUUACCGGCUAUUAAGCCGGCAUUAUGUUCCUUUUUUUACAGUCGAUGUCUCGCGAGCUCUUUUCACGGCUGAAGUCACGAAAAAAUAGCGGAGAACUGACUUGAAACAAUAAAAGAUAUUACAUUUGGUACCCCUUGUAUAAUAAUAACCUCGAUUAUUUAUUACGAAUUUAAAUAAUUCGUAAUAUGAUGCUUAAAUUAUGAAAAGGAGAUUUAAAAAGAACUUUCGUAGUACGAAUAUCAUGUUUUUGGAAGGAAAAAUGCAAUUGGCCAGCAACAAGUCUCUGUGUCAGCAAUUAAAGAUUAAGACAGAUUCCUGACAUCAACUUCGCCAUGUUAAAAAAAGUAGAUCAUGACCGAGUUACUUCUGCCUUAAUUUAAUUACCACACCAUAGAUGUACUUGUAUGUGACUAAGAAAUAAAACCAUGGAAACUACAUAUA